AUUGAACGCUGGCGGCAUGCCUUACACAUGCAAGUCGAACGGUAACAGGUUAAGCUGACGAGUGGCGAACGGGUGAGUAAUGUAUCGGAACGUGCCCAGUCGUGGGGGAUAACUGCUUGAAAGAGCAGCUAAUACCGCAUACGACCUGAGGGUGAAAGCGGGGGAUCGCAAGACCUCGCGCGAUUGGAGCGGCCGAUAUCAGAUUAGGUAGUUGGUGAGGUAAAGGCUCACCAAGCCGACGAUCUGUAGCUGGUCUGAGAGGACGACCAGCCACACUGGGACUGAGACACGGCCCAGACUCCUACGGGAGGCAGCAGUGGGGAAUUUUGGACAAUGGGCGCAAGCCUGAUCCAGCCAUGCCGCGUGCGGGAAGAAGGCCUUCGGGUUGUAAACCGCUUUGGUCAGGGAAGAAAAGGUUCUGGCUAAUACCAGGGACUCAUGACGGUACCUGAAGAAUAAGCACCGGCUAACUACGUGCCAGCAGCCGCGGUAAAAC
rnacentral:rRNA from 1 species